rnacentral:tRNA from 1 species
GCCCCGGUAGCUCAAGUGGAAAGAGCGCUGGUCUGCUAAACUGGAGGUCCGGGUCCGAGUCCCGGCCGGGGUGCCA